rnacentral:rRNA from 1 species
AGACUAAGACGUUGAUAGGCUGGGUGUGUAAGUGCAGCGAUGCAUUGAGCUAACCAGUACUAAUGAUCCGUGAGGCUUAACCUU